AGUGAACGUUGGCGGCGUGGAUUAGGCAUGCAAGUCGAGCGAGAACCGUAGCAAUACGGGGACAGCGGCGAAAGGGACAGUAAUGUGUAGGUACCUACCCCGAGGUCUGGGAUAGCUGCGGGAAACUGCAGGUAAUACCGGAUAAUGUCUUCGGACCAAAGGUGUGAUUCCACCUUGGGAGGGGCCUGCAUCCUAUUAGCUUGUUGGCGGGGUAACGGCCCACCAAGGCGACGAUGGGUAGCGGGUGUGAGAGCACGACCCGCGUCAUUGGGACUGAGACACUGCCCAGACACCUACGGGUGGCUGCAGUCGAGGAUCUUCGGCAAUGGGCGCAAGCCUGACCGAGCGACGCCGCGUGCGGGAUGAAGGCCUUCGGGUUGUAAACCGCUGUCGUAGAGGAGGAAAUGCAGGGGGGUUCUCCCUUCUGUUUGACCUAUUCUAGGAGGAAGGACGGGCUAAGUUCGUGCCAGCCGCCGCGGUAA
rnacentral:rRNA from 1 species